GUCACAGUGUCAUGAAACACUCCCCACAUAAGGCUUUUCUCCUUUAUGCAUUUUUCGUCGGUGUAGCUCUAGGCUUAAUGACGACUUAUAGCCAGCCUCUCCCACAGUCAGAGCAGGAGAAAGGCUUCUCCUCUGUACGACUUCGCUGGUCUGUUUUCGGGACUUCUGAUUCGACAGAGCUCUUCUCCAAGGUUGAGCAGACGGACGGCUUUUCACCUGUAUGAAUUUGCUGGUGCUUCUUUAUGCAUUCAUGGCAGUAUAACCACACUGAAAAAAAUUGUGAAGACUCCUUUCUUUAUGUACUUGAUGCUGGUGAGUUUGAAAUUCACUUAAUAAAUUGAACUCCGUCCUACAGUCAGGGCAUUUAUGACCUCUGUGGGUUAUGUUUUCUCAUAAUAUUCCUUCUUAAACUGAGAACGCGCACACUUUUUGAGAACGCGCCUCUUUUGCAUAGUUUUGCUGAUGUACCUUAAAGCGUAACGCUGAAAUGAAACCCGUCAUACACAGAGAGCAGUGGUAAGGCCACUCUUCAACAUGGGAUUCCUGAUGUUUUUUGAAAAAAAACAAUUUUGGUGAACCCUCUCCCACAUUUGGAGCAUUGAUGGGGUUUACUAUUUUUGUCCUGGUGUUGGAUUUGGGGUUAAACUUGGAACAUUGUUAUACUCAGAAUUAUAGGAACAUUAGUUACAAAAGAGACAUGAGGGGUGCCAUAAUGAAGUUUGGGAGGGGCUGAGUGCAGGGAACACGAUCACAUGUGGCAGUACUGAUAAGGGGAGAAACUGUUGAAGGAUCAUAUCACUCAGCUCCCUGCUCAGCAAUAAUGAUGCAAUGUUUAGCGAUAAGGAGGAGACUCCACCCAAAGUGGGGAAUGAAUACUACCACGGGGGAAGCCAUGUCUGUGUUUGAAUUACAGCUGUAUCGACCCUUUGGGAAGAAUUAAACUUGGUUAAGCUUCUCCAGUGUCCGUGAGUUAUUUACUCAAAAUUAGAACCUAAAAGAUAGCGCUGCGAGGAGGGUUCACCAUGAUUUGUAGUCAAACCAAAGAGUCCAGAUCAGUGGAGCAGAGCUGGCAACAAACAAGCUCGACGUAGUGCCAGACAGGUGGCUGUUGCAAACAAACCGGCGGGUGUGUCAUGGGCCAUGGAUCCCAAAGGGAAAAAGAGAAAGAUAGCUGAGGAGAACAGAGGAUUCCACAGUUCUUGGACCGAAUCAUUUGCUUUCAUUGCCAAUGCGGAAGGAUUGCCUGCAUGUCUGCUUUGUAAUGAGAAGUUGUCAAAUAACAAAAAGAGUAACGUGGAAAGACAUUUCCAUUCUUCCUGACAGUUAUAGGAACAUGAAGAAAUAUGCAUUUUGAGUAUUAUCCAUCUUUGGAUCAAAAUACCUGUGCGAGCAGAUAUUCUCAAACAUGAACUACAUAAAAUCCAAAUACCGCACCCGCCUCACAGAUGAGAGCUUGCAGUCCUGCGUGAAGAUUAAAGUUACAUCUUACAUGCCCGAUGUUGAGAAGCUGUCCAGUGAUGUCCGAAAACAGAAGUCACAUUAAACGGGUAAGAACACAAUCCUGUCAUAGGCACAUAUUUAGUAACAAAGUGGCUGUUUUUAUAAAGUGAUUUCGGAUUUUUGUCAGUAUAUAUUUGGAAUGACACAUAGGGAUAUUAUUGUGUUUUGUUGCUCAGGUCCGAGGAUGGCUGCAUUGUAUUGUGCAUGUCAAAAGAGAAGAGGGUGCUGCUGCAUUUUACCCUUGCACAUUUGCAGAAAACUAAAGAGAAGAGGAUAAUGCAAAUCGAACUUAAACUGUAUUAUUUAAAUGUUAUAUACUUUAGCUUUUCAAAAGGCUGCUGUUUUACUGCACUCUGUCUGUUGCCCAGAUAAGGGGGAAAAGAGAAGAGGAUUGUAUGGUAUUAUUGAGGAUUGAAAAGGACUGCAUUUUAUUUCCAUGGGGAGGUCUGAAAUUACAGGAGGCCUAUUAUGCACGUUGCACAUUUUGUUGUUGUUUUUUCAAAUCCUAAAAUAAAAAUGACAUCAAAAAUCUGA